AACGAACGCUGGCGGCAUGCCUAACACAUGCAAGUCGAACGACACCUUCGUGUCUAGUUGCGCACGGGUGCGUAACGCGUCGGAACCUUCCCUUAUGUUCCGAAUACCUCCCCGACAUGGGUGCUAAUAUCGGAUAAUUUCCUCUGACCAAAGAUUUAUCGGCUUUGUAUGGGCCCGCGUUGUAUUAGCUUGUUGGUAGUGUAUAAGCCUACAAAGGCGAAGCUCCAUAGCUGGUAUGAGAGGAAGGUCAGCCACACUGGGACUGUGACCAGGCGCAGACUCCUACGGGAGGGAGCAGUGGGGAAUAUUGGACAAUGGGCGAAAGACUGAGCCAGCAAUGCCGCGUGAGUGAUGAAGGCCGUAGGGUUGUAAAGCGCUUUUACCCGGGAUGAUAAUGACAGUACCGAGAGAAUAAGCCCCGGCUAACUCCGU
rnacentral:rRNA from 1 species